rnacentral:lncRNA from 1 species
ACUCUUACAUUGUAUUACCGGACCACACUUUGUCGAUAUGCAGGCAUUCUUAUUUUAGCUUGCAACUGAACUUCUGGGAGUAAGUCCAAGUCAGCUCUUCGAUGGUCGAAAUUACUUGGCUCUGUAUAAUAUUUGACCCUUAUUGAUGGUAGUCCGAUCUCUAAUGAGAUCACUGCUUCCAUUCCAUAUGCCAGAUUGAAUGGUGACUUUUCCAUUAGGAUACGAGGAAUCGUCUGAUAAGUCCAU